AAAGCAAAAAAGCAAAAAAAAAAAAAAAAGCCAUAGAGCAUGAAUUCCCCCACCCAAUCCCCUGCCCACUGUUCUCGGGCCUUGUACCAAAACCCAAGAGGCUUCUAAUCUGAAUCUGCCCCCUCCUGUCUUUUCCCUGCUUUUUAGGGUAUUUAAUGGAAAUUGGCCAGAGGUAGCUCAGGCUUGAGGAAGUUGUGUUCUUUCAGAGUUGCCCGGUGUUUUGGGUGGGAUCUGAUUCCAUAUGUCCUUCCUUGUCACAUUGGUUCCCACUCGGAGAACUCCUGGACGUGGAGGUGACCUUACUAUGUGAGUCCCCGCCUGGUCAAUUUCUAGGUGCACUUAAUCCUUGCUGCUGCUCUCUGGGAUGGGGCCCCCGGUUCUGCAGGGGUCUAGGUGAGGGUCUCAGGGAAGCCGGGGGUUAUAAACCCAAGACACUGACAGUUAAGAGCUUGACUCCAUCAAUGACCUUGGGAACCUCUGCAGCGGAACAGAGGUCAAGCAUUCGACCGCUCUGAGAUCUGGCCUCCCCAUCUGUAAAAUGGGGGUAUGCGUGGCAAGUAGCUUGAAUGCUGGCUGUAGAUGGAGAGAAAAAGUCAAAUUUUCUCCCUCCCUCUCUCUCUCUCCCUCUCUCUUUCUCUCUCUUUCUUUGGCUGACCCUGAGACAUGAGGAAGUUCUCAGCCCAAAAGUCGAACCUGAGCCGCAGCUGUAACCAGAGCUGUAUCAGUGACAACGCCAGCUCCUUACCGCCCUCAGCCACAAGGGAACUCUUCAAGCUUUCUCUUUAAAAACAGAAAUCACAGUUUCCACAAGUAAUAUGCGAUUUUUAUCCCUAUAUGUUAAGAAAUGUUGGUUUAAAAACAUCUGAACACCAUAAAAUGCUGACAUGCUCGCUGCACGCCCAGCUUUGCAUCCGAGGCCGGCUGGAUGGUGGUACCCCGUGUGUGGGCGUGUCUUGUGAUAGGGCUGUUCACCUGUUCACUUGUCCUGGCCAUCCUUACAGCCACCUCAUGAGGUGCCAGGGACAGGGAACAUCAUUUCCCCAAGGAGGGAACAGCUACAGAGUGGGGACGCCACUUCCUUCUUGAGAAAUUGAUGAGCCCGGCUUUGGACCUGGGCACUGUGUUUUACCAAGCCUCAGAACUUUGCAUCCUGAGCACUGAGUGAGCUUUCAGGGCACAAAAGCAAACCAGGGUAGAGCUACAUCUCCUAGGAGAGGGGGACACACGGGUAAACCAGUGAGACAUGUGGGGUAACGGGGGCGCGGAGGCUGGGUAACUCGUCCAUCUCAUAAAGAAUCACCAGAAAGACCUUGCUUAGAACAAGUCCCUAGGAGUUCCUGUUGUGGCUCGGCGGGUUAAGGAUCCCUGAUGUUGUCUCUGUGAGGACGCAGGUUCGAUCCCUGGCCCUUUGCUGUGGCUGAUGGAUGGUGCAUUUUUUUUAAUACCUCAACGUGGAUUCCUCCGGAGUUGUCCUGGAAAUCCAGUGGCUUGUCCUUCACUGUGCUUGUCCAGUUCACAGUCAUGGGGUCUCUAGCUCCUGCUACUCAAACACAGGAUAACUUUUUUUUUUUUUUUUUAAAUGUUCGUACUUGCACUGUGAGUUUGUUGUAUGGUUUGGGUAUUUUUUUUUUUAAGGAUCAUUGUUUAAGAAGCGACUGUGCCCCCCACCCCCAAUCCCGAACCCAAAGGUGACUCCAAGUCCCUCGUGGAAGGACACCUUCCCGUGGUCAUGACCUCUGGGGUCCUCACAUCUUCAGGGCGUCUCCUGAUGGAGGCAGCGCCAGGCAAGGGGCCAUGGGGUAAAGGCGACAUUUGAUCGCAGCCCCUCUGUUAUCUACUGGACCUCAGCUCCCUGCCCCUUAGCCUCUGAGCGCUCCUGACCAGAACCUCCGAUAGGUCACCUCUCUGGUGGGGACGGGGUGGAGGGAGGGAUGGAGGGGCGGGGUCCGCCUCGAAGGAGCAAUGGAAGCGCCAUCCAGCUGCACACGUCCGGUCGAGCGCUUGGACAAGCCGAGAUGGGUGGAAGCUGCACGCCAAGGCCCACGCUCGUCUGGUUGCAGAUUUCAAGUUGGUCUGUGGCUGGUUUCCUGCCAACAGGAGCCCACACGUCAUCCUCCAGGACUGCUUUAGCGUGAUGGCUACAGGGAUCCAGGCGUAUUUGCCUCCUGGAAAUGUGCAGAAAAAUCCGUGACCCGUCUGAACCCACGUGGAGAAAACUGGAGGAGUGAACUCAGGAUGGAUGAAUAAUGCCAAAGAUAAACACGUAAUAAAUAGGUAAAAACCCUUCCGUGGCUCCUCACUCUCCUCGGAAGACAGUCCAAACUUGAGAGUGGCCACGUGGCCCUUGGGGGCCAGGCACAGACCAAGCUCGUCCACCGAGGGGCUUGUCACCUUCUCUCCCUUGGACACACAAACUGGAUUGAACAGUGCCAGCUUCUCCUCUCUAGAACCUCACAUCCUCUGCCUGGCACACUAUCUCCUCUUCUUGUUGCUUGCUAAAUGUCACUUCCUCCAGGAAGCCCUCCCUGCCUAAUUGACUUUAGUUCAAACCCCGGGCUCCCGCUGCACUUCUCUGUAGCCCUCAUCAUUGUAAUGAUCUAAAAAAAAAAAUCUAAAAAAACCCAAA